rnacentral:lncRNA from 1 species
CAACAGUUCAUUAAAGGCUGAAGUACCUAUGUCCUCAGUAGUUAAGGGUACUGAUGAUGGAUCUGGUGACAAAGUAAACAAGGAUUUUAUGUUUUAUUAAGUGUAUUAACAUAGUCUGUGGGUUAAUUAAUUUGCCAGGUUCCUAAACCUACUAGCCUAAAGAUGUUAGUAUCUUUUCCUUCAGGCAAUUAUUAAUUCCUCUUCCUCAGCAAGGGCAGGAUUAAAACUUAGCCCCAAAUUCAUGAUUAAGUUGAGAACAUGUAUUCAUGUGGCUCCCUUCCGAAGUUCACAUCUGGUUUCUAUAGAAAUUCUCCUGCUAACCUAAGGGACAUGCCAAAUCACCUCUUCGAUGAAGCUCUCUUUCCUAACACUGAAUUUCUGCACUCUAUAGGCUGGAACAGCGAGAUGCAAAAAUCCUGAACCUUCAAAGCCAGCUCCUGCAGAAGAGAGAGGGCCUGGCAGCUGAGCUGGAUGCUUCAGGAGCAGAGGAUCUAUCAACUGCAGACCAAGCAUAGGGAGACGCAGGCAGACCUGGAACAGAAACCCAGCCAGCGCCAGCCGCUCCGACAGUACUUGGUGGCCGGAGAGUCGGCAGCAGGAAGCAUGAGGCAGGAAAUGACCCAAUCCUUGAGGUCUGGUCAUUUUUCUGUGCAUCGAUCUAUUCCUUGGAUUGUUUUGAAGUUAAUAUUGCAGUUGCCUUGA